rnacentral:piRNA from 1 species
UGUUUUCUACAGUGUAUGGUUUUGAGCUC